CGUUCUCCCAACUCGCCCACCCACUAGCGCCAUCACACAGCCCACUGCGAACUAUACAAUUCCACCCAACCCCACACGCGUUCAACGAAUGAAUAGUUUAAACCCGACUACUAUUUUAUCAUUAUGUGAAUUGUCCUUGAAAAAUGGCGCCCUUGAAAGAACAACAUCAAAAAGUCGUAAAUUACAUUCACAGAUGGCGCGAUGAUAAUCAGCAGCCGAUUUUCCAACAAGUGCAACAAAACAAAACACACAUUUUUCAAAAUAAAAAGAUUGCCAUUUUCUGGGAAUUGGCAAAAUAAAACAUCCGCCAUUCAAAACGUGCCAACUGAAUACCACGUUCCAUAGUUCACUCAUUUUCUUACAAAACACGUGCGCCGACAAUUUAUAGGCCGAAACAAUAAUUCAACACAAAGUAAAUUCUUAUUUUUACCUCCAACAUCCUCCUUCGUUCUUUAGAAACCACCACUUGAGUCGAUUCCGUCAUGGUCACUGUUUACACGUAACGUGGGUUUUUGCGGUCGAUAUUGAACAGAGCACCGCUAUAGAAAGUAACA